UACGUGCCAGCAGCCGCGGUAAUACGGAAGGUCCAGGCGUUAUCCGGAUUUAUUGGGUUUAAAGGGAGCGUAGGCUGGAGAUUAAGUGUGUUGUGAAAUGUAGACGCUCAACGUCUGAAUUGCAGCGCAUACUGGUUUCCUUGAGUACGCACAACGUUGGCGGAAUUCGUCGUGUAGCGGUGAAAUGCUUAGAUAUGACGAAGAACUCCGAUUGCGAAGGCAGCUGACGGGAGCGCAACUGACGCUUAAGCUCGAAGGUGCGGGUAUCAAACAGGAUUAGAUACCCUGGUAGUCCGCACAGUAAACGAUGGAUGCCCGCUGUUGGUACCUGGUAUCAGCGGCUAAGCGAAAGCAUUAAGCAUCCCACCUGGGGAGUACGCCGGCAACGGUGAAACUCAAAGGAAUUGACGGGGGCCCGCACAAGCGGAGGAACAUGUGGUUUAAUUCGAUGAUACGCGAGGAACCUUACCCGGGCUUGAA
rnacentral:rRNA from 1 species